AAGGGCCCUAAAAGAGACUAACAAUUUCAAAAAGGUCCUAAGGAUAGAUAUUCUAGAAGGUUUUUUGCACUAUUCUAUACUAGAAUUCUGUCAAAAGGGGAGCAUUGCGAUAGAGAUUGGCUUGUCUAUUCUAAGGACCUCAAUAGAGUAUUUUGCUUUGGUUGUAAACUAUUUACAAAAGGGCAUAGGCAAGGAUUUUUAGAUGUAAAUGAUACAACUGGGCAAGGAUUCGAAGUGCUAGAGAAUGAACUUAAGCUUCUUGAUCUUGAUAUAGAUAAUGUGAGAGGACAAGCUUAUGAUAAUGGGUCAGAUAUGGGAAAACAUCAUGGUGUCCAAAGAAGACUUCUGAAUGUAAAUCCUAGAGCUAUCUAUUCUACCUGUGGCUGCCAUAGCCUUAAUUUAACACUUUGUGAUAUCAUCCAACACAUUUAUAUAACUUUCGCAAUUUUACUAAGAAACGGAAGAUUCUAAAAGAUAACACAGAUAGGAGUGACGCUCAAGUUAGUAUUAGCUACACGUUGGGAGAGUCGUGUAGACAAUGUUAAAGCUAUCAGAUUUCAAUGUGCAGACAUUCGGGAGGCUCUACUUCAAGUAUCCGAAACUGAUAAUGAUAUAGAAACGAGAAGCGAGGCAAAAGGUUUGGCAAAUGAACCUAGGGAGUAUGAAUUUAUAGUGGCAAUAGUCAUUUGGUAUGAGGUAUUAUAUGUUGUUAAUUUAGUAAGCAAACACUUGCAAGCAAAGGAUAUGCUUAUAGUUACUAUUGAGAAAGUGAAAGGGUUGAUUACUUUUUUCGAGAGGUAUAGAGGAAGUGGCUUUUUAGAAGCAUUGGAGAUAGCCGAAAAAAUGCACGAUAUGGAUAUUGGUACAACAUUUAGUAAAAGACGAGAAAUGGAAAGAAAGAGAUAUUUUGAUGAGAACCCAGAUGACACAAAUGUUGCAAGACAAUCUGCAGAGAAAUAAUUUAGAAUCGAUGAUUUUACAACCAUUGUUGAUCAAGCAAUUAUGUCACUUACAAGCAGAUUUGAACAAUAUGAGGGUUACCAAAAAUAUUUUGGUUUCUUAUUUACUUCCAAAUCAUUGGAUAAUGAGAGUUUGAAAUCUUCUUGCGAUAAUCUUGAGGAUGCCCUUAAAAAGAUGGCAAAUUUGACAUUGAUGCCAAUGGACUGUAUGUGGAGUUGAGGUUACUUAAAAGAUUUCGUUACAAAGGAUGAUAUGGGGCUAGUUGAAAAUCUAAAGUUUUAAAAGUGACAUGAUUAUUUUCCCAAUGCAAGUAUUGCAUACAAAGUUCUAUUAACCAUUCCUGUGACUGUUGCAUCAGCGGAAAGAAGCUUUUCAAAAAAGCUAUUGAAUUCCUAUAUGCGUACUACAAUGACAUAACAAAGGCUUACUGAUUUGGCAACAAUAGCACUUGAGAGGGAAGUGUUGGAGAACAUUGAUUACGAGGAUAUAAUUGAAUAUUUCAUUUCAAAGAACACUAAAAGAAUAAUGUUAUUCAAGUAA
rnacentral:rRNA from 1 species